AGCCUCAAUCUGCAACCAGGCAAGAUGAAAGGAAAUGCUAAACUCAGGAUGCCUGUGGAAACAUUUAAAAUCAUUUGCUUAAGAUUUGUCAAUAGAUAUCUGCAAAUGUAAAGACUUACCAGGACAUGCAGGCCUUCAGGAGAAGAGUUUCAAAGUGGUUUACAUUUCAGCUUCAAUAUUUAUAAACAGAAUGAAAUCCGGAGGGAAGGAGCCUGGAGAGAUAAGCCUUUGGUAGGUCUGAGCUGCAGCCCAAGAUUCUGCAUUUUGAACAAGCUCCCAGGUGAUGGCAAUGCUGCUGAUCUAUGGGCCACAGUUUGAAUAGCCAUGAUCUAUGGUCCCUUCUAGUCCUGACAGUAUCCUCUGAUACAUAGCCUUCAUUCACAUUGAAAAGAAGGAAAACAGAAAGAACCAUAGUAUUCUGUGAGCAAGUGGAGUCUGAGGAGGACAUAUCCACAGAAACCUCAUUUUCUCAACUCCAGGACAUGGAAUGCAGGUUGGACAGACACAGUGAGGAUAAGCUGUAUAAGGACACCACCUUGAGAAAGGCCAAGCCACAGACCAGAAAAAGCCCAAGUCCUCUGUGACAUACAGAAUAGAGUCGCUGACCAGGUUCAGCUGUCUGCUGACCUCUGUGUGGUGAACAAGAGAAAAAUAAAAGCCUGUCUUAUUCUGGGGUCUCUCUGUCACAGCUCUGUGAUAAAAUGAAUUGUGUCUUUCCAAAAUUCGUAUGUUGAAGCCCAGCCCCCAGCUGUGAUUGAACUUGGAGAUAUGGAUUGUAAGGAUUAAGUGAGGUCAGGGGAAGGGCUCUGUCCUGUAGGACUAGUAUUCUUAUAAGAAGUGAGGUAGACACCAGAUCGCUCUCCUGUCCUCAGUGCUCACACCAAGGAAAGGCCAUCUGAGGACACAGUGAGAAGAC
ensembl:lncRNA